rnacentral:rRNA from 1 species
AGUGAACGCUGGCGGCAGGCCUAACACAUGCAAGUCGAACGGCAGCACAGGAUAGCUUGCUCUCUGGGUGGCGAGUGGCGGACGGGUGAGGAAUAUAUCGGAAUCUACCCUUUCGUGGGGGAUAACGUAGGGAAACUUACGCUAAUACCGCAUACGAACUGAGGUUGAAAGCGGCGGACCGCAAGGCGUCGCGCGGAUGGAUGAGCCGAUAUCCGAUUAGCUAGUUGGCGGGGUAAAGGCCCACCAAGGCGACGAUCGGUAGCUGGUCUGAGAGGAUGAUCAGCCACACUGGAACUGAGACACGGUCCAGACUCCUACGGGAGGCAGCAGUGGGGAAUAUUGGACAAUGGGCGCAAGCCUGAUCCAGCCAUGCCGCGUGUGUGAAGAAGGCCUUCGGGUUGUAAAGCACUUUUGUUGGGAAAGAAAAGCGGUCGGUUAAUACCCGGUCGUUCUGACGGUACCCAAAGAAUAAGCACCGGCUAACUUCGUGCCAGCAGCCGCCGCGG